rnacentral:rRNA from 1 species
GACGAACGCUGGCGGCGUGCUUAACACAUGCAAGUCGAACGGUGAAGCGCCUUCCUUUUUGGUGGGUGUGGAUGAGUGGCGAACGGGUGAGUAACACGUGAGUAACCUGCCCCCUUCUUCUGGAUAACCGCAUGAAAGUGUGGCUAAUACGGGAUAUUCUGGGUCUGUCGCAUGAUGGGUCUGGGAAAGAUAUUGUUUCGGUGGGGGAUGGGCUCGCGGCCUAUCAGCUUGUUGGUGGGGUGAUGGCCUACCAAGGCGGUGACGGGUAGCCGGCCUGAGAGGGUGGACGGUCACACUGGGACUGAGACACGGCCCAGACUCCGACGGGAGGCAGCAGUGGGGAAUAUUGCACAAGGGGCGCAAGCCUGAUGCAGCGACGCCGCGUGAGGGAUGGAGGCCUGCGGGUUGUGAACCUCUUUCGCCAGUGAAGCAGGCCUGCCUCGUUUGUGGGUGGGUUGACGGUAGCUGGAUAAGAAGCGCCGGCUAACUACGUG